UAUUUUUGACCUGUUUUCGGUUUUUUUCGUUUUGCGAAACAAUGAAAAGGGAAUCCGGUUUAAAUCCGGAGCUGUACCCGCAACUGUAAGCCCGCUCUGUAAUAGAGUCUACUCAAGCAAAAACCACUGUGCACUGCACGGGAAGGUGAGUGGUAAGGGGUCAGCCAGGAGACCUGCCGCAACAUUUAUAUUGUC
rnacentral:ncRNA from 2 species